AGGAGUUUGAUCCUGGCUCAGAAUCAACGCUGGCGGCGCGCUUAACACAUGCAAGUCGAGCGAGAAAGGGGAGCAAUCCCUGAGUACAGCGGCGUACGGGUGAGUAACACGUGGGUAAUCUACCUUUUAGUGGGGAAUAACCCUGGGAAACCGGGGCUAAUACCGCAUAAUCCUGUGAAGGGAAAGCAGCAAUGCGCUGAAAGAGGAGCCCGCGGCCGAUUAGCUAGUUGGUGAGGUAACGGCCCACCAAGGCGACGAUCGGUAGCCGGCCUGAGAGGGCACACGGCCACACUGGCACUGAAACACGGGCCAGACUCCUACGGGAGGCAGCAGUGGGGAAUCUUGCACAAUGGGGGCAACCCUGAUGCAGCGACGCCGCGUGAGCGAUGAAGCCCUUCGGGGUGUAAAGCUCUUUCGGCAGGAACGAUAAUGACGGUACCUGAAGAAGAAGCUGCGGCUAACUACGUGCCAGCAGCCGCGGUAAUACGUAGGCAGCGAGCGUUGUUCGGAAUUACUGGGCGUAAAGAGUGUGUAGGCGGUGCCCUAAGUUCGGUGUGAAAUCUCCCGGCUCAACUGGGAGGGGCGCCGGAAACUGGGGUGCUCGAACGGGGAAGGAAAGCGGAAUUCCUG
rnacentral:rRNA from 1 species